rnacentral:tRNA from 1 species
UGGCUGAGCGGUAAAGCGUUUGGCUUCUGACCCGGCGGUCCCGGGUUCGAAUCCUGG